CCUACGGGAGGCAGCAGUGAGGAAUAUUGGUCAAUGGCCGGAAGGCUGAACCAGCCAUGCCGCGUGAAGGUCAGUGCCCUAUGGGCGUUAAACUUCUUUUGUGCGGGAGCAAUAAUGGUCACGUGUGGCCAGACGAGAGUACCGUACGAAUAAGCAUCGGCUAACUCCGUGCCAGCAGCCGCGGUAAUACGGGGGAUGCAAGCGUUAUCCGGAGUUAUUGGGGUUAAAGGGUGCGUAGGCUGUGAGGUAAGUCAGCGGUGAAAUGCCCCCGCGCAACGGGGUGAAGUGCCAUUGAUACUGCCUUGCUGGAGUGCGGAUGCCGUGGGAGGAAUGUGUAGUGUAGCGGUGAAAUGCAUAGAUAUCACACAGAACACCGAUUGCGAAGGCAUCUCACGGAUCCGCGAUUGACGCUGAUGCACGAAAGCGUGGGUAUCAAACAGGAUUAGAUACCCUGGUAGUC
rnacentral:rRNA from 1 species